rnacentral:rRNA from 1 species
ACGGAAGGCAGCAGCUAAGAAUAUUCCGCAAUGGACGAAAGUCUGACGGAGCGACGCCGCGUGGAUGAUGAAGGCCGGAAGGUUGUAAAAUCCUUUUAUGACUGAGGAAUAAGUAUGGUGAGAGAAACGCCAUAUGGUGACCGUAGGUCAUGAAUAAGCAACGGCUAAUUACGUGCCAGCAGCCGCGGUAACACGUAAGUUGCGAGCGUUGUUCGGAAUUAUUGGGCGUAAAGGGCAUGUAGGCGGUUUUGCAGGCUUGGUGUGAAAUCCCGGAGCUUAACUCCGGAAUUGCGUUGAGAACUGCAUAACUAGAGUCACUGAGGGGCAAUCAGAAUUCCAGGUGUAGGGGUGAAAUCUGUAGAUAUCUGGAAGAAUACCAAUGGCGAAGGCAGGUUACCAGCAGAUGACUGACGCUGAGGUGCGAAGGUGCGGGGAGCAAACAGGAUUAGAUACCCUGGUA